UAGCUCAGUGGGUUGAGCACGGUGCUGACUGAAAACACUGUGGUCGCGGGUUUGAUUCCCGC
rnacentral:tRNA from 1 species